rnacentral:rRNA from 1 species
UACGUAGGGGGCAAGCGUUGUCCGGAAUCAUUGGGCGUAAAGAGCGUGUAGGCGGUUCGGUAAGUCGGCUGUGAAAGUCCAGGGCUCAACCCUGGGAUGCCGGUCGAUACUGCCGGACUAGAGUUCGGAAGAGGCGAGUGGAAUUCCCGGUGUAGCGGUGAAAUGCGCAGAUAUCGGGAGGAACACCUAUGGCGAAGGCAGCUCGCUGGGACGUUACUGACGCUGAGACGCGAAAGCGCGGGGAGCAAACAGG